CUAACCCCAACAGGCCUGAAGAGCUGCUGUGUCCAGUAGAACAGGAGGAAGGAAGGGGAGGCACCUCUCAGCUCUCUCAUUACCCCUCUGGCUCCCAAUGCACUGCUCUUGAGCCUAGAGCCAGAGGCUGCCAUGCUGGAUCAGAGCGUAGGCACUGGGCAGGCUGAGGCUUCUACUCACCCCAGGGAAGAGUGAGGGCCUGGGGGAGAGAUGGAGGAGUAGGAAGAGGCGGAGGGAUAGGGGAGAGGGCCAUAUUAGACCUCUUCAUAUCAUCUGGCCUCAUUGCUGGUUGACACUAGUGUCUAUUCCUGGGAUGCUCUGAAGGAGGACUUCAGGAGUCUGCUGGCAUGCGAAGACGACCACCAUCCCUGACAGACAGAGACUGGGCCCAAGGCGAGGCAGGUCAGGCAGUAGCCUCCAGUCCCCACAGAUCUGCUCAGAAGUGGCAGAAUGAGAUGAAUGUAAAGGUUGAUGGAAAGUCUGAAGUGUAGCGAGGGAGGGAGAGUCUCGGGGGGACGUCGUCAUAGCUUCCUGACAUGGAGCCACGGGCCACAAACCUGUGGUGGCUUCAGACAGCCUGUCCCCACCACCUCUCUCUCCACUCAGCUCUACUCUUCUCCGCUAGGCUAAAAUCAAAGCCAUGCCUUUUUGGAGACAUUGUGCCGGCUGUAAACGUUCCCCAUCUUCACGUGCGAGAGAGAGAGUCUUUCAUGUCGACUGUGGUUUCUAUUUGAAAAAAGAGAAAAGAAGGACACAUGUGUAAAGGCUUUCAUGUUUCCCAAAGGCGGUACCACCUCAUAUAUCCGGUUGUAUCCAUUUUUAUCCUUUGUACUGGAGAGGACGUGGGGCUGCAAAUCGUUGUCCGUCCGUCCCCCCCCACCCACCACUCCUAACAGAGUUGCAGCCAAGUUGUGGGUUGAAAUGCUAUUCUGUACCUCCUCACCUGCCAGACCUGGAGUCUCCCCGAGAGCCUGCUGAAGUACCUAAACUGUAUUUUUCUUCGUCUGCUGGUGUCAAUGCAGGUUUCUCUGUUUGCUCUCUGAUUUCUUGUAAAUACCACUGCAACUGGUUCAAAGUUGUUGUUUUUAUUACUUUGUUUUGUAUUUGUUUUGCAGAAUAUAGUUUUUGUUUUGAGAAUGUUCAACAUAUUACAAUACUAGAAUCCAUUUCUGACAAGUGAAUGUCUUUUGGUCCUUUCAAUUUCAGAUGGAGCUCUCAUAAUGUGUCAUGCCCAGACUGCCUGUACUAUCACAGCAAUCAUGUACUACCACGGUUUAAAUAAUGGAUCAGCCUCUUUAGAGAAUACCUUACAACCAUGUAUUCAAGGUAGAGCAGACACUUCCAUUAGCGGAGGACGGAAAGGUUUAAGGUUAACCUUAUCAUCAGGACUGAACCAUAUAGGCCUAACUGCAGCAUUGUUUGGCCUCCUUCCCCUUUCAAUCUACCCACUUCUCAAAGCAUGUUCCCCUUUAGUGUUGCUAGCAGCAACCUGAAUCCUUCGCCUUCUCAUGUACCCUUGAUGUUUUAUGGAGUAAAAGCAGGCCAAUAAAACAGAAUUUGUCCAAAACGGGCUCAUACGACA